rnacentral:rRNA from 1 species
GUGUCAGCCGCCGCGGUAACACGUAGGGGGCGAGCGUUGUCCGGAAUUACUGGGCGUAAAGGGCGCGUAGGCGGCCUAAUAAGUCAGAUGUGAAACCCCCGGGCUUAACCCUGGGCUUGCAUUUGAAACUGUUGGGCUUGAGGACAGGAGAGGAAAGCGGAAUUCCCAGUGUAGCGGUGAAAUGCGUAGAUAUUGGGAGGAACACCAGUGGCGAAGGCGGCUUUCUGGACUGUAACUGACGCUGAGGCGCGAAAGCCAGGGUAGCGAACGGGAUUAGAUACCCCGGUAGUCCUGGCCGUAAACGAUGGAUACUAGGUGUGGGAGGUAUCGACCCCUUCCGUGCCGUAGCCAACGCACUAAGUAUCCCGCCUGGGGAGUACGGCCGCAAGGCUGAAACUCAAAGGAAUUGACGG